ACCAGGAAUUCCAACCAAGAAUUCCAGCCAGGAGUUCCAUCAGGAAUUCCAACCAGAAAUUCCAACAGGAAUUCCAACCAAGAAUUCCAGCCAGGAGUUCCAUCAGGAAUUCCAACCAGAAAUUCCAACAGGAAUUCCAACCAGGGAUUCCAGCCAGGAAUUCCAACCAGGAAUUCCAACCAGGAGUUCCAACCAGGAAUUCCAGACAUGAAUUCCAACCAGGAAUUCCAAGCAGGAAUUUCAGCAGGAAUUCCAACCAAGAAUUCCAGCCAGGAGUUCCAUCAGGAAUUCCAACCAGGGAUUCCAGCAGGAAUUUCAGCCAGGAAUUCCAGCCAGGGAUUCCAACCAGGGAUUCCAGCCAGCAAUUCCAUCAGGAAUUCCAUCAGGAAUUCCAGCCAGGGAUUCCAGCAGGAAUUCCAGCCAGGGAUUCCAACCAGGGAUUCCAGCCAGGAAUUUCAGCCAGGAAUUCCAACCAGGGAUUCCAUCAAGAAUUUCAGCCAGGAGUUCCAACCAGGGAUUCCAGCCAGGAAUUCCAACCAGGGAUUCCAACCAGGGAUUCCAGAAGGAAUUCCAGCCAGGGAUUCCAUCAAGAAUUCCAGCCAGGGAUUCCAUCAGGAAUUUCAGCCAGGAGUUCCAACCAGGGAUUCCAGCAGGAAUUCCAGCCAGGAAUUCCAACCAGGGAUUCCAUCAGGAAUUCCAUCAGGAAUUCCAGCCAGGAGCGCUCCUGGUGGCUCCAGCACCAAUCCCAACUCUCCGCCAGCCCCGGAUCCUCCCCCGGGGCUCCCCAAAUCCCACCCAAACCGCCCCAAAUUCUCGCUGCAGAAAUGGAGAGCGACCCCCCCAGCCCCGCUGCCCCAGCUUGGGAAAAGGAAAGGGGAAAAAAUGGGGGAAAAAAAGCAGCUUUUGGUUGAAGAAGGCGCGAGGUGAGGGUGGAGCUGGUGGCCCCGGCUGCUGGGCUGGGCUGGAGGGCUCGGCCGGAGGAGGAGACACCACCAGAGCCCAAAAUGAGAAAAUUCCC
rnacentral:lncRNA from 1 species